AGCAGCCGCGGUAAUUCCAGCUCCAAUAGCGUAUAUUAAAGUUGUUGCAGUUAAAAAGCUCGUAGUCGAAUUUCGGGAUUAAUUUACUGGUCGUGCUAUCGUACGUACUGGUUUUAUUGAUUCCUCCCUUCUGACGAACUAUGAUGUCAUUAAUUUGGUGUCAUAGGAAGUUAGGACUGUUACUUUGAAAAAAUUAGAGUGUUUAAAGCAGGCUCACGCUUGAAUACAUUAGCAUGGAAUAACGGAAUAGGACGUUUGAUUCUAUUUUGUUGGUUUCUAGGAUCGACGUAAUGAUUAAUAGGGAUAGUUGGGGGCAUUAGUAUUCAAUUGUCAGAGGUGAAAUUCUUGGAUUUAUUGAAGACUAACUACUGCGAAAGCAUUUGCCAAGGAUGUUUUCAUUAAUCAAGAACGAAAGUUAGGGGAUCGAAGACGAUCAGAUACCGUCGUAGUCUUAACCAUAAACUAUGCCGACUAGGGAUCGGAUGAUGUAAUUUUUUAAUGACUCAUUCGGCGCCUUACG
rnacentral:sRNA from 1 species